GAAAGUUUACUUUGUCUGGUCUGCUUAACUAUAUGGAUGGUUUGUGGUCAAGUUGUGGAGAGGAACGAAUUUUGAUAUUUACGACGAACCAUAAGGAUAAAGUAGACCCGGCAUUGUUGCGCCCUGGUCGUAUGGACAUGCAUAUUCACCUUUCCUUUCUUAAGGCCAAAGCAUUCAGAAUCUUAGCUGCAAAUUAUUUGGACAUUGAAGGAAAUCAUCACUCACUCUUUGAACAAAUUGAAGAGCUAUUGGAAAAGGUUGAUGUCUCACCUGCAGUAGUGGCAGAGUAUCUAUUGAGAAGUGAAGAUCCUGAUGUUGCUCUUGGAGCACUUGUUAAAUUUCUUCAAGAUCAAGAAAUUGUGAAUGAAGAGACUAGUCAGGAAGUUUAGAGCCUGCUUAGUGGUGUGACAAAUUACUGACAUUAAUAAUGCCUUAUGUUAUUGCAGUUCUUAUUUAUUUAAGUUAUGCUCUCUAGUAUAUUGUAAAUGUAUGCACUUGUAUCUUGAUUCUUGAGUUGUUGUAAAACUUCAAUGCUACAUUUUUAGUAGAUUCUAAUAUCCAUUACAAUUUCAACAAUUUAAAAUAAUAUGAUAGUGGCAGAGUUUCCAGAUAUCAUUAAUUAGAUUGGUUUGUUUUUGGUCAAUACAAUUUUGUUUUGGUUGAUUGUGUUUUGGGUAACUUUUUUCACUGCACAUUUUAACAAAAAACCACUUAUAAUUUUAGAAGUUUACUUAAUUUAUUGGAAGUGUACUCUUGAUAGAGACAAAAUGUGUGUUUUUUUUUUAUUUAUACGUUUGAAGUUAUGAUGAAGGACAAGGAAAGUUUCUCCUAAAUUAGUAUGGCUAGUCCUCCUAUCUAUGCAAGUAUUGCAACACAAAGAAUAAGAUUAGGACGCACAUUGCACUGUAAUUUUCACACUGAAUUCCGCAACACCAGUAAGAAACAUUACAUCGGUUCGAGGGAAUUGGAUUUGAAUAAUCCCUUAACCAAAGUCUCGAGUUUGACCUUUGUGGAUGGAGAAAAUAUGGUUGAAAGGAGAGACCUCACUAAAGAUGUCCAACGAAUUUUUUUGACAGAUAUUAGUCACCGAUAAAAUCAGUCGAUACUUCACACCAAUAAUAUAACUAUCUAAUAACCAAAUAUUGAGAUUUUCUGCAAUCAACAAUCAAUUCAUUUAUAUAGUUACUAACUUUUGCAAAAUCGUAGUGAGUCAUUGUGAUUAUGACAAACUAACUUAAUACCAAAAAUGCACUAAAAUAUCCUAUAAUUAUUUUUGUUGUUGCUUAUGUAGAUAUGAGGUUGGAGUACAUUGAUUUGGGAUAAACUUUCUCCGCUCUAUUUAAGCAUUAAAGAAUGCGUUGCAAUUACAAAUAAAUCAUUCAGAAUAAUCCGUGUUUGAAUCUUAACUAGAUUAAUUUUUUAUCAGAUUUUACUGAUCCUCUCAUCGAACUAUGAAUUAGAAGACUUUUUUCUUCAAAUAGACUAUUAACACACAAAAAAAAAAAAAAACAUAUUUUGUAUAUUUUAGAAGUAAACAUUUAGCCAAUUUCUGUGGUUUAAAAUACACUUCCAAUAUAAUGUGUAAUUUUUUUAAAAAAUGUAGAUGAAGAAAGUUCCCACAAAUAAUUUGCCUCUCAAUGGGCCUCUACUUUGUAUAGGCCCAAUCCAAAACUACAUCCAACCAAACCAAGAUUUUGUUGGGUUAUUGCGCUUCUCCCAUCAGUUUUUGCUCGUUCCCGUUAAAAUAGUCGAGCGUGAGUUAACUCGUGCAUGUGCAUUUUCAAUGUGUGAAUUAACUCACGUAGAUGUAUUUUUCAGCGUGAGUUAACUAAAGUUGGACGGGAAUGAACAAAAACAAAUGAGAGAAGAUUAAUUCUCAUUUUCUUGACCAUAAAAAUCAGACCAUGAUUCUAUAGCAUACCAUUUUAACAAUGAAAUAUACAAUAUAAGGAACCCACAGAAAGAAAGAAAAAAAAAAAAAAAAAAAAAAAAAAGGCAAAAUGAUAUCUGAAAGCUCUGCAAAUGCAUAUUUUAGAUUGUUGAAAUUGUAAUGAAUAUUAGAAUCUACUAAAAAAUUUGCAUUGCAGUUUUAAAACAAGUCUAGAUACAAGUGUCUAUCUUAAAUAAAAUACUACAACACAAGACGACACUUUUUGUGCAGCUUCAUUUACCCGUAGCAACAAAUACUGAAGUAAACUUUUAUAUUAGGUUUUCGACAUUUUCUGCGGUUUUGUUAUUUGAACCUUUCGACUGCGGUUUUGUCUGGAUUCAAGCGAUUUAAAACAGUUGAACCAUAAUCUAGAGGUCUUGCUGGUUCGAAGUUCGGUUUGGUUUUUAGAACAUUGUUGCUGACUAUAACCUUCAUCCAUAAUAACUCUUGAAAUGUCAAUUUCUUGAAGAAAUUUUAUAAGUUCUUCGAGAACAACAUCAGGAUCCUCACUUCUCAACAGAUGCUCUGCCACUACUGCAGGGGUGACAUCUACUUUUUCCAAUAGCUCUUCAAUUUGCUCAAAGAGUGACUGAUGAUGUUCUUCAAUCUCCAAAUAAUUUGAAGCUAAGAUUCUGAAUGCCUUGGCCUUAAGAAAGGAUAAAUGAAUAUGCAUGUCCAUACGACCAGGGCGCAACAAUGCUGGGUCUACUUUGUCCUUAUGGUUCGUGGUAAAUACAAUAAUUCGUUCCUCGCCACAACUUGACCACAAACCAUCCAUAUAGUUAAGUAGUCCCGAUAGAGUAAAUCAUUUAGGCUUGCUCUUUGUCUUAACCACCUAUUCAAUAAUUUUUAGAAACCAAUGUAAAUUACUCAAUUACUUGCAUAAUUUUAACAGUUAUACAACAAGUGAAUAUACGUUUUAGUCAAAGAAAUUUAGAGUAUUGAUAGAGUUUCGAUAAUUUAGUCCUUUAAAUAUAUUUUUUAAGAGGGAGAUACUCAAUUUAGUUCUUGAUGAGUUAUGCGUUAAUCAAUUUAGUUUUUAAUAGGUUGUGUUGAUCAAUUUAACCUUUAAAGUUGAUAAUAAAAGAGGCACCAAAGAUGAGGUUGCAAUUUCAAAAACAUUUGGUAUCAAAGUGAUUGUUUAUUUAGUAGGUGAAGGUUAUUUUAUUUGAUGAAGUCAAUUGAAUAAUUGUGUGCAGACACAUUCGUAGAAGCUUCCCAUUCAUUUGGUAGUUUCGGAGCAAGAGAUGAUGACUUGAUUCCCUUUUUUUGGUAAGAGAUGGAUGAAGACCGAUUAGUUGUCCAAAUUAAGCAAAUUAUUUUGUUGGUAUGAACGUGCGUUGGCAUGAGUCAAACAUGGUUUGACCAUCUUGUAAAGUUGUUUGGUUGAUGCUUUGAAGUGGAUCAAUUUUCAUAUAUAGAAAUGGGUUUACAUUAAGCAACCAAUUCUAGCUUCUAUGGUGAUGACAAAUUGAUUCUACAAAUUGUAUGUCAACUCAGAGUGUAUCUUUUUAGCAAGGUUGAAAAUGAGUCGAACCGAGUCAAACUUAGGUUCAAUUCAGCUCGACUCGUUAAGAAUUGGAUCGGCUCGAAACUCAACUUGAGUUUACCAUAAACUUUUUUUUUUGCUCGAAUUCAACUCGAUUCAAGCUCGUGAACAACUUGAUUCGGCUUGAUAGCUCGAAUCAAAUAAACCAAAAGGCAAAAAAAACUACCUGUUUGAUUCCCUUCUUAAAAACAGUUUUUUAGUUUUUUAAAAUUAAAAAUUUAAAAACUUGUUUAGCAAUCCAAUUUUACAAGAGUGUUUUUGGAAACUGUUAUUUAGCUGGCAAACAAUAAGUGGGAUAAAGUAUAAGUUUGCUAUGUUGUGAUGUUAUUUCUUUGCAUACCAACUUAUUUAAUAUCACGAGGACUGAUUCAUUCCUUUUAAAUUAUAUUAAAUAAGUUUGAAAUAACUUCUAUUAUUUUUGAUUAAAUUUUUAAAAAAAUCAUUUUAAAAAAUAUAAAAAAAAAUCUAUUUUUUUUAAAUCUAAAACAAACGGCCCUCAAUUCCGUUGUAAAAUACCAGACAAUGAAAUAAAACUUCUAUUCCAUUUUGUUGCUCAAUCCAUUUAGUUUCAUUCCUUCUCUUAAAUAAAAGAAAUAAUGCCAAUAAAAAUAAAAUAAAAGUACAAUACAAUGAUAAAUAAUAAAAUAAAGAAACCAAAAUAUAUGAAAUGAAAAAAAAAAUAAAGAAACCAAAAUAUAUGAAAUGAAAAAUAAAAUAAAAAACUCAAGAGUCUUCAGUCCGUCAGUUUUUUUAUUUUUUUGAAGAAAAAGAGUCUUCAUUCUAGAAACUAACCAAAUAUAGAGAUUAGAGAGAGCAAUAAGUUUUAAAAAUAAAAAUUAAAAAAUGAAAAUGAAACUAGAAACUGUGACCCUUCUACGAGUUUAAUUUCUUCUCUGAAUUUUUUAAAUUCUUUCACAAUUUGAACAUAGCUCUUCUUUUACAUCGUUUGUUUUCUAUUGCAUACUACAUAUUUUUUAAUUCCUCCUCAGCGUCCCAAAAUCACUGUGUUGCUGCCAGAAAGUGAUGUAUCAAGCUAUAUGUUUCUUUUAUUGUGUUUGAUUUCUUUGCUACAAAUUUGCUAUUCUCUAUGUUAUUUCCUCUUAUGUGAUUCUAACUAGCUUGAUGUCCUUUUUACUUUCAUUAUUUUAGCCUACGAAUCACAAGGACAAAGUAGACUCGGCAUUGUUGCGCCCUGGUCGUAUGAACAUGCAUAUUCACUUGUCCUUUCUUAAGGCCAAAGCAUUCAGAAUCUUAGCAUCAAAUUAUUUGGACAUUGAAGAACAUCAUCGGCCACUGUUUGAACAAAUUGAAAAGCUAUUGGAAAAAAUAGAGGUCACCCCUGCUGUAGUGGCAGAGCAUCUGUUGAGAAGUGAGGAUCCUGAUGUUGCUCUUGGAGCACUUAUUAAAUUUCUUCAAAGAAAUUGACAUUUGUUGAGAAGUAAGGAUCCUAUAGCUUCUUAAUUGUUCAUGAAAGACUAUAGUCAGCAAGUUUAGAAGUGCAUUUUGUCAUUUGCAUUUGCUACUAGUAAAAGAAGUAAAAUGAAAACUGUUUUUAUGUUAUUGUGGUAUUUAUUUAAGAUAGACACUUGUAUCUGGACUGUUGUAAAAAUUAAUUGCUAAGUGAUUGGUAGUAGAUUCUAACAUUCAUGACAAUUUCAACAAUCUAAAAUAUGGCAUUGGUAGAGCUUUGACCUUUUGAGAUAUCAUAUUGCCUAUAUAUUUUUAUUUUUUGCAUGAGUUUCUUAUAUUUUAUUUUUUUAUUUCAUUGUUAAAAAAACAUGUUAUAGGUCCCUUCGGGGACAUCCGAUAAAAUUGGAGCGAUACACAUAAAAAAGCAUGAUAUAGAUUCUUAGUUUGGUUGAACGAGUGUGUAUUGGAUUAGACGGAUUAGACCUAUGCAAAAGUAAAAGAGGUCUAUUCAUUUAGUAAAGGGUAGUUAUAUAUACAGGUACACAUUCAAACAAUUUUUAUCUCUAUCUCUCUUUAACUAUCACAUCACCAAUGAAUAAAGAUAUUUGUACAAGGAAAAAGAUAGAUAGUGCGAAUGUGGAGCGACGAAAAUCGACGAACUCUAAUCAUCGUUGGAUUGUAUUUUGCUGCUGGCCAUUUUCUACUUUUAUUUAUUUAAAAAAUAUUAAAGCAUUGCUUAGCUUUCAUCGUGCCUAUGUCGUGAGUUAAUGCUUUCGCACCAUACAGCAAGUCUCUUUGUACAACGAUUUGGUGAUAACUUGUGUGACAAUCUUUUUUUUUUUUUUUCCUUUCUCUCUUCCUAUUGAUCAAGAACAAUAGAGAAAGUUAUAUAUAUAUAUAUAUAUAUAUAAGUGGUUACAAUCUCAACUAAAACCUCUCAAAGAAAAAAUAAAUGUGGUUACAAUCUCAGCCCUUAAUCUCCUUGCACCUUGCUUCAGCUAACCACCUAUGGUUUGUUUAGAAAAAUCCUAGAAAAAAGUAGGUUGUUCCCUUGAUUUUCUUGGAUCCCAAGAUUCUUUUUUUGUUCACAAACGGAAAACCCUCUUUUCAAGAUUCUAAACAAAUCUAUAAUCCCUCUCUUCAAGAACACGUUGAAUAUAAAACCCUAACAGAAACCCUAUCUCUCUCACUCAUUCUUCAUCGCUCAUCACAUCAAAGUUCACACAAUUCUCUACCUCUCUCACUCUUCAUAGCUCUUAACAUCAAAGUUCACACACCACCAUGAGAUCCCCUAUGUUUGGUGGUUUUUCUUCUUCUUUUACAAACACUGGUUCAUCAUCAUCAUCAUGGUUCCAGGCAUAUGCUUCCUUCUCCACUUUUAUGAUGAUAUUAAGAACUGUAUUCAACGAUCUCAUACCCUUAAAACUUCAAAACUUCAUUGCCUCAAAGUUACGAGCUUUCUUCUCAAAUUACCAACCUAAAAAUCAAGUCUCACUUCAAAUCGACCCGCUUUGGGAUGGAAGUCCCAAAAUCCCUUCUAUGCAGCCACAGAGUAUCUCCCUACUAGAAUAUCCAAAACUUACACAUCCCUCAAAGUUGGAAAAAUAUCCGAUCAUAACAAUGCACUCGUAGCUUUUGAUGGAAAGUAAACUGUGGUGGAUGAAUUUGAAGGCAUCAAGAUUAAAUGGAUGCUUACUCAAAAAACCAACAGUGGUCUUUCUAAAAAUCCCAAUAUGCAAGCUGAUGAGAUCCUAUAUCAGUUAAAUAUUAAGCCUAAGCCAAAACAAACGGGGGAGAAUGGGUUUGUGUUAAGUUUUGAUGAGAAGCAUAGAGAUAAAGUAAUGGAGAAGUAUAUUCCACAUGUUUUAAGCCCUUAUGAAGCUAUGCAAGCAGAUAAUAGAACUCUCAAGAUCCAUUCAUUGCAAGGUGCUUGGCUACAAAGUAGUUUUAAUCAUCCAGCUUCAUUUGAUUCAAUUGCUUUGGAUCCUGAUUUAAAGAAAGCUAUAAUUGAUGAUUUAGAUAGAUUCUUGAGGAGGAAAAAGAUGUAUAAAAAAGUUGGUAAGCCUUGGAAACGUGGGUACCUAUUGCAUGGACCUCCAGGAACAGGAAAAUCUACCCUAGUUGCUGCUAUGGCAAAAUAUAUCUGAAAUUUGAUGUGUAUGAUUUGGAUUCAAGCGGUGUGUAUAGUAACUCAGAUCUCAUGAGAGUCACGAGGAACACAUCUAACAAAUCCAUCAUUGUUAUUGAAGACAUUGACUGUAACAAGGAGGUGCUUAACCAAUCAAGAUCAGAAAUGUUUUCAGUUUGUUUUCUUACUCCCUCACCAUCUCAUAUUAACUAUUCUUCUAAAAUACAUUUCUCCAUCUUCUUGUUUUGUUAGCUUUAGUUGGGUUAAGUCUAAAUUCAGCAGUAAUAAAAAUAUUUAGACUAAUUUAAACUGUAUUUUUGCACUUGACAAGGUUAAUUUCAUGCCGCCAACACCUUAGGAUCUUGGAUAUGAUGAGACUCAGGAUCUUGGAUAUGCAGCGACUCAGGGUCUUGGAUAUGCUGGCAUUGCUGCUCCUAAAAAGUUUCUUCAUAACUAUAUGGAUGGUUUGUGGUCAAGGAACGAAUUAUUGUAUUUACUAGGAACCAUAAGGACAAAGUAGACCCAGCAUUGUUGCGCCCUGGUCGAAUGGACAUGCAUAUUCACCUGUCCUUCCUUAAGGCCAAAGCAUUCAGAAUCUUAGCUUCAAAUUAUUUGGACAUUGAAG
rnacentral:lncRNA from 1 species